AUAAAAUUUGACCUUAAGGAGCGCGGUCAUCCUAAAAAUUUUAAAAGAAAAAAUUAGAGCGGCCUAUUUAACUUUUUUUAUGUGGUCGUUAAUGUCUAUGUUUGAAGCAUUUUUAUAAUUUUACCACUCUCAAAAACCUAGAUUGGAAAUCCUUUUGUACUCCGUAUUUGAUUUUUUUUUACAAAAUCCUUUGCUUCUUUCAAUUCUUCGCCUAUUCCAUUUAUGGCGGCAAGGUUUUGGUGGUGGAAUUUGUAAAAGAUACGGCAUUGGUGGUGGAAUCGGAAAAGGUAAAGGCUUUGGUGGUGGAAUAGGUAAAGGAGGCAGUUUGGGUGGUGGAAUUAACAGCUGUUGUAGCUUUCUAUCAAUCAAUAAGUUGUUUUCUUGGCGAACGAGAAGGCGGCGGCGAUGCUCGAUUGUUAUAGUGGCACGACCCACUUUCACGACUAAGGAUAAAAGGUUGGGGGCCAUAACCGAAGCCUUGGUGACAAUGAAGGCUGAAGGUCUAUGCUUUGGAAAAUUAUUUCAAGAAAGGCAUCAAAAACUUGAGGGAAAUGGAAAUCAGGUCGCUGGCAGCUGUGCUACUAUAGAAAGGGUACUAUAUGAUUCUUUUCUGGUCAUUUCCUAUAUUGAUGUCUAUAGCUACAUUUGGGGCAUGCUGUUUCUUAGGCAUUCCUUUGGAUGCUGGUAAUGUUUUUACAUUUCUAACUACUUUGAGAAUAGUUCAGGGGCCUGUGAGGUUAAUCCUGGUUGUUGUCAUAGCCUGUAUACAAGCAAGUGUGUCAUUAGACAGAAUCAUAAGGUUCCUUGAUGCAACUGAGCUGCAGAAUCAACAUAUCCAGCCAAUGAAGAAAGGGAAGGAGAUAGAGAAGUCUAUAGAUAUCAGAAGCACGACGAUUUCAUGGGAUUGCUCAAUGAAGCCAAACCUUAGGAAUAUAAAUUACUUGUUAAACCUGGAGGGAAGGUAGCCAUUUGCGGAGAGGUUGAAUCCGGUAAAUCCACACUCUUGGCAGCCAUUCUUGGAGAAGUUCCCAGCAUUAUUGGCACAAUGUAUUUUCAGGUGCAAGUUUAUGAAAAGCUUGCCUAUGUCUCUCAAACGACAUGGAUUCAAACUGUGACUAUAAGAGAUAAUAUUCUAUUUGGUUCUUCCAUGGAUCAUUAAAGAUAUCAAGACACACUUAAAAGGUGCUCAUUGGUAAAAGAUAUUGACAUGCUUCCAUGUGGUGAUCUCACAGUAAUUGGGGAAAGAGGAGAUAACCUCAGUGGUGGACAGAAGCAGUGAGUCCAGCUAGCACGCGCCUUGUAUCAAGAUGCUUAUCUUUACCUCCUGGAUGAUCCAUUCAAUUGUUGAUGCUCACACCGCGACUAGUCUAUUCAAUAGAUAUGUCAUGGGAGCUCUGACUGGAAAGACUGUCCUGCUAGUCACUCACCAAGUUGACAUCCUCCCUACAUUUGAUUAUAUCUUGGUUAGUUUUAAAUAAGGUCAUAUCUUUUUCUUGACUAUCCUUCCAUCUUAUCCCCGACUCUAAUUUGUAGAAAGAUAAAGAAAAUAUGAGGUAAAUAAAAGAUAAAGGAACAAGAAUAGAAGAUAUACUGUUUUUCGAUUUAAGCAAAGUGAUCUUAUAUAUAUAUCACUUUUUUUAUAGUUGAUGAUGGUUGAAGAUAUGUCAAGGUAAGUAACCUGUUAGCAGACAUUCUUUUGGUGUUGUGAUAUAAAAUUUUUUUUGGAGUGUGAACAUGGAGAGAAUCAUACAAUUUUAGAAACUUAGUAUCACUGACUUCCUGCACAGUUCUGCUUAUUUAACUGUUUUUUUUUUGAGCUCAAGCAUGUCUAAUCUUAAAACUGCCUUUGUUUUUGGAAUUGUUUGAUUGGAUUGUUGGUUAAUGUGUGGUAUAUGGGUGUUGUUAUUCACAGGAGUUUGUGAAGAGGUAUUCCAAAUUCAUUAAUUUCCCCAUAAAUCUUUGGGCAACCAAGGAAGUUGAAUAAGAGAUUCCAGGAGAUGACGAUGACUCGUAAGAUGAAGAAUGCCCAAGACUAUUUUUUUUAUGUUCUUUGAUGUAGUUUUUUAUUUUUUUUUCAUUGUUUAAGAAAUUAUUUUUAGCAUUAAGAUUUUAAACAUAGGCUUUAAUUUAUGCAUUUUGGAUGCGGUUGGUGUAUGACAAUAUUAUUGGUUUUCGAUUGGAAUUUGAUGAUAAAUUAUGUUAGUGAAUAA